rnacentral:tRNA from 1 species
AGUCUUAUAUUCAAUUUAUGAUUUUAGACUGCAAUUCUAAAGGUGUAGGAAUAUAAAUCUACUAAGACUU